AGUGAACGCUGGCGGUAGGCCUAACACAUGCAAGUCGAACGGCAGCACAGUAAGAGCUUGCUCUUACGGGUGGCGAGUGGCGGAUGGGUGAGGAAUACAUCGGAAUCUACUUUUGCGUGGGGGAUAACAGAGGGAAACUUACGCUAAUACCGCAUACGACGUACGGGUGAAAGCAGGGGAUCUUCGGACCUUGGGCGAUUGAAUGAGCCGAUGUCGGAUUAGCUAGUUGGCGGGGUAAAGGCCCACCAAGGCGACGAUCCGUAGCUGGUCUGAGAGGAUGAUCAGCCACACUGGAACUGAGACACGGUCCAGACUCCUACGGGAGGCAGCAGUGGGGAAUAUUGGACAAUGGGCGCAAGCCUGAUCCAGCCAUACCGCGUGCGUGACGAAGGCCUUCGGGUUGUAAAGCCCUUUUGUUCGGAAAGAAAAGCAGCAGGUUAAUACCCCGCUGUUAUGACGGUACCCAAAGAAUAAGCACCGGCUAACUACGUG
rnacentral:rRNA from 1 species